AGGUCAUUGAGUCAAGUCAUUGAGCCAGGAUUUUAACCUGGUCAUUUGACUCCAGAGGUGUGUUUUUUUUUUUGACAGGCAGAGUGGACAGUGAGAGAGAGAGACAGAAAGAAAUAUUGUCCUUUGCUGUUGGUUCACCCUCCAAUGGCCGGUGAGGCCGGCGCGCUGCGGCUGGCGCAGUGCGCUGAUCUGAAGCCAGGAGCCAGGUGCUUCUCCUGGUCUCCCAUGGGGUGCAGGGCCCAAGCACUUGGGCCAUCCUCCACUGCACUCCCUGGCCACAGCAGAGAGCUGGCCUGGAAGAGGGGCAACGGCGACAGACUCCGGCGCCCCGACUGGGACUAGAACCCGGUGUGCCGGCGCUGCAAGGCGGAGGAUUAGCCUAGUGAGCUGCAGCGCCGGCCUGAAUCCAGAGUUUUACUUCUUCCUUUUGAUGGUCUCCUUAAGAAUUACUACUGCAGUUUGAAGGUGUACAUUUUGUGUGUUGCAAACUUAAUCCCCAGAGACAUAGGUAAUUGUGUUUGAGAGGUGAUACCUUUGGGAAGUUUCUGUCAUGAGGGCAUAGAAUCAUCCACUCAUGGAUUUGUGGGUUAAUGAUAAGUGGGUCAUCUUGGGGAGUGGCUUUGUUAUAUAAGAGAGCUGUCUCUGGCUUGCUUGCUCUGUUUCACCAGCGGAUGCCCUCUGCCACACACCAUGACCCAGCAGGAGGGCUCAUACCAGGUGCUGAAUGGAUACCAGCAAGGUGUUCUUGGACUCCUACUCUUCAGAAGGGUUCAUUUUCAAGAGUUGGUCACCCUCGAGGAUCAAGGACCUGCCCACAAGGAGCUUCUAGCUCAAUUGCACUUGGAGAGCGCCUUCAGGGAUGCGUACGUGUCAAUCAAUUGUGAAGUUGAUCUACACAAAUAUCCUCGAGGAAGACCAAAAUCUUAGAAAGAAAAAUGAACUACAGUGAGGCAAAGAGGCCCAAAGCAGAGACAAGAAUAAGCACUCCCAUUUAAGAGAUGAAGACACCGGAAUGGAGGAGAUGAUGAAAACAGAUUUGCCUUGGGAGUUGUCUGCACAGCUCACUGCCUGGUGAGCUGGGAGUGAACAGAAGCCCAAGAGCUCAGCCUGAUGGGAUUUAGUUCUUUCUCAACAGAAACAGACAUGGUUACCGUGGAGGUCGGCACCUGAUGUGUAUCAGCUAUAGGAUCUGUAGCUCCCUGCUGACCAACGGACCCCACCUUUCCAAGUGAAUUUUCUGUGCUUAAAUCUCCUCAUGGGGCUUCUUCUAUUGCGCACUGUGGAGUUACAGAAGUUAGGUUCUUUUUUUGUGUGUGUGUUGUUGUUUUAAACUUAGGACAGCAAGUAGAUCUUCAACUGGGCUUCUUAACUAAUAUCUAGAAGAGAGUGUGGUGGCCUUGGAAAAACCCUCAAGCUGUGUCAAGAGGGUAAAUCAGGGUACGGUGAGUGCCUAUUCUUCCAUGGAAGGAGCUGAGGAGGAUGGUGCCACCCUAGAAUCCAGGUGUGAGCCUUUCAGGAAACUUGGAAAUGUGUGAACAACCCCAGUGGGAAUGCUCUCAAGGAUGCUGCAGGCCCUGGAGCAACCAAAUUCCUGGGUAGAGCUGUGAAAUUGUCAGAGUUCACAAAGAUUCCUCUACAAUUUGUUCUUAAUUGCUGACAACCUAAUUAAAAUUUUUUCCCUAUCUACUUUGUAUCCUAAAGAUAAUCAAUGCUUAUUAUAAAAUUUGAAAGUCACAAAAGAUUAAAAUAAAAGACUACCUUUUGAUUCAUGUGUAAUCAUUGUACAUAUCUAUGGGACACUGUGUGAUGUUUUAAACAAUGUAUGUAAAUGUUCUGAUAAAAUCAGGGUAAUUAGCAUGUUCAUUUCCUUAUCGUUUAUUUAUAUUUAGUCUUCAAGCAUGUCUUCUCAAUUGUUAUAAAAUAUGUAGUGUGUUACUGUGCCUUACAAUCCCAUCACUGUGCUGUUACCCCUCACCCUCACCCCUCUGUAACACCUCUUGGGACUUACAACUGCAAAUGGUUUCCUGUGUUGUCUUCUGAUAGAAUUUUAGCUGAAAAGUAACACAUAUCUCUAUAUGUGUGUCUAAGUGACACUCUUCAUGUAUUUCCAUGGCUGGUUUUGAUUUUCAUUUAACACUGUUGGGCAUUAUUAUAUAUCAUUAACUAUAGAUUUAACUUGAUCAGUUAAAAUUAUCACAAAUCAUUACAGUGCAUAGACACGACAUUGUUCACUUAUAUUAAUUAGUAAAGGACAUUUGGGUGGUGUCAGGAUUAUUUUUUCUCUUGAUCCAUUAAAAAUUGUUGUUAUUGAGAACAAUGCUAUCCUCCACGCUUUUUUUGAAAAAAAAAAAAAAGUUUAAUGGGGCUGGCAUUGUGGUCUAGCAGGUAAAGUCUGUGAUGUCGGCAUCCCAUAUAGGUGCUGAUUCCUGUCCUGGCUACUGCACUUUGGAUCCAGCUCCCUGCUAAUGGCCAUAACUAUGACUGCAUCAUAGUUAAUGUGCCAAUUGUUUUUAGUUUUAAAUUAUUGUUUAGUACAUGUGAAAACUUAU